UAAUGAUAUAGACAAAGUCUGGGAAAAUGCAUACA
rnacentral:sRNA from 1 species